UACGUAGGGUGCGAGCGUUACUCGGAAUUACUGGGCGUAAAGCGUGCGCAGGCGGUUUUGUAAGUCUGACGUGAAAUCCCCGGGCUUAACCUGGGAAUUGCGUUGGAGACUGCAAGGCUGGAGUCUGGCAGAGGGGGGUAGAAUUCCACGUGUAGCAGUGAAAUGCGUAGAGAUGUGGAGGAACACCGAUGGCGAAGGCAGCCCCCUGGGUCAAGACUGACGCUCAUGCACGAAAGCGUGGGGAGCAAACAGG
rnacentral:rRNA from 1 species